AUAGCAUACUACCAUAGCGAUCCACAUCGCCAUCGGGAACCAUUUUUACCGAGUGUUGAUAUAAAAGGGACGAGUUGAUUUUCCGUGAAUUUCCUAAUUUUACUGUUCGAUGGUGUACAUUGUUAAAAAAAACAGUGGCCAGUGUUUCUUUCGAUUUGUUCAUCGUUUGUGAGUGGUUUUUGGCAGUAAAAAUCGUUGAACAACUGUUGGUCAAUCUAUAGAAAUCUCAAAGUGCCUAAAAACCAUUCGAAAUAUAUUCUUGUUAUCUACAUGAGCACACAGUUAUCGCUUAAGGAUGAUUUAUUGCAAUGGGAAAAGUAGAUACUAGAAAAACUUCUUUAUGCCACUACGAAACCGGUUUGCAAUAUGUCAUGGCCUGCAUUCAUCGAUGACUGAAAAUCAAAAUCUGACGUACAAUGGACAUAGAAACGGGAUAGAAAGUGUUUGUUUGUUCUAUUUCAACGAAAUAUGAUUUUAUUAUCUUCAAGCCGGUGAAAGGCGAAUUCGCUGCCUACCCUAACGUUAGAUCGAUGUAUCCUGGGCAAAGAUAUUUGUGUAUUCCAAAGGCGAGGGCUAAUCUGGAAGGAAGGGAUCAUUUCGAGAUUUUGCCUAUGCCCGCUAUAGUGUGAUUCCUAUCAGUCGAACAAAUGAUUACGAGUGACGUUAUGGUGUUCAUCCACAAGGUUCAGAAAGGCUUACUUCCACGGUACCUGCUUUGUUAAAAUGAAAUACAAUAUAACAAUACAACAAUGUGAUUUGAGUAGUGAACUAAUAAAGCAAACUAAACUAAACUAAUUUCUGGUGAUUUCUGUUAUCAAGGAGUGAACAAGUUUUACGAGUCAAUUUACUUUAAUUAAGAUAAGUACACAGCUCGUCAAAAAUGCCGGAAUAUAUAUACG